AGAACGACUCUCGGCAACGGAUAUCUCGGCUCUCGCAUCGAUGAAGAACGUAGCGAAAUGCGAUACUUGGUGUGAAUUGCAGAGUCCCGUGAACCAUCGAGUCUUUGAACGCAAGUUGCGCCCGAAGCCUUCUGGCCGAGGGCACGUCUGUCUGGGCGUCA
rnacentral:rRNA from 1 species